rnacentral:lncRNA from 1 species
UGUUUGCAGCCAGUGCCAGGGAAACCCCUCUGCAUAUGUCUGAGUGAGGGGUUUUUUUCAGGCUUUUUCAUGCAGCCUAAUGCCUUGUUUCCACUUAUCACUACCUAAAAGGGGCUUAAUUGCUUCUUCCACUGGCUUUAUAGAUUCCAAGGCCAGAAGGAACCACUUUUGUAGCCUGACCUCCUAUAUAAUACAGGCCAUAGAAUUAUGUGGCUAGCACAGCCAUUAGCUUUAACAAGGUCUGCAAUUGCCAGUAGCUCAGAGACUUGCUUGGUGGCCGCUAUUAACGCAUUCCAGCAUUAAAAGGCUUUGUUUCACUAUUCAGUUUCCUAUCCACAGCCAAUAAAUGAUCAGUUUAAACACAGUAUAAACUACAGUAUAAACACAGCUUAGCUGCUCGAACUGACUGGCGUGAUCCUAACCACUGUGAGUGAAAACUGGGAUUAGGCCUGAUGAUAAAAGAAUGUGUGGCCGGACACUAUAUCCACUGGCAAGGCUUUCUACAAUCGUCCUGCUGCUGAAAAAUAACGUCCAUGCACAAACUGCUUCCACCAGCCUCGGGGUGUGCAUUAGGGUGCAGCUACGUACCUUCUUUGUCUCAUUAAAGCUUGGCAGUUUGUGCAGAAUGAGCCACUUUAACUUGCCGUCCCACAAGGUUGGACAAUUUGCACCCUGGAACCUUCUAGCAGAUGCCUGUGUCUUCCCCCUUCUCCAGUUGUCCAAUGGCCAUUUAUUUUGACUUCUUCCCCAGGCGCUUUUCAUUAGAAGCUUGGAUUGUGAAAUCAAGAUGCUUGAAGUCAUUAACUCAAUACCAUAUCCCUUCUAGAAGAGAUGUUCUCAUUCAAUCAGAAGUUCUGGGCUUGGUGCAGAAAUUACUGGGUGAGGGUCUAUGGCAUGUGUUAUGCAGGAGAUCAGACUAGACUAGCCCUUCUGUCUAUUAACCCCACCCUUUGCCAGGUUCAAGGGAAUUUCAGUCUGUUUAGCUGGUUAAAAUAUUAAAACUGAGAGCUACUGGUAGGAGCAAAGCAUCUCAUGCUGCAGGAGAGGCGGGAGCCCUGCGAUUAUUGAUUGCUGCACUGGCAGUUACAAGAAUCCAUGUCUGGAUUUGU